rnacentral:rRNA from 1 species
GACGAACGCUGGCGGCGUGCUUAACACAUGCAAGUCGAACGAAGUGGCGAACGGGUGAGUAACGCGUAAUCAACCUGCCCUUCAGAGGGGAACAACAGUGGGAACCGACUGCUAAUACCGCAUACGGAAGGAGGGGAUUGCGUCUGAAUAGCUAGUUGGGGGGGUAACGGCCCACCCAGGCGAUGAUCAGUAGCCUGUCCGGGAGGAAGAACGGCCCACUUGGGACUGGGACACGGCCCAGAAUCCUACGGGAGGCAGCAGGGGGGAAUCUUCCGACAUGGACGAAAGUCUGACGGAGCACCGCCGCGUGAGUGAUGACGGCCUUCGGGUUGUAAAGCUCUGUUAAUCGGGACGCGGUACCGGCAUAGAAAGCCACGGCUAACUACGUGCCAGCAGCCGCGGUAAUAC